AGCGGAAACGAUGGGAGCUUGCUCCCAGGCGUCGAGCGGCGGACGGGUGAGUAACGCGUAGGAAUCUACCCAGUAGAGGGGGAUAGCCCGGGGAAACUCGGAUUAAUACCGCAUACGCCCUAAGGGGGAAAGGCCGGGAUCUUCGGACCGGUCGCUAUUGGAUGAGCCUGCGUAAGAUUAGCUAGUUGGUGAGGUAAAGGCUCACCAAGGCGACGAUCCAUAGCUGGUCUGAGAGGAUGAUCAGCCACACUGGAACUGAGACACGGUCCAGACUCC
rnacentral:rRNA from 1 species